rnacentral:rRNA from 1 species
CGCGUGAGUGAAGAAGUAGUUCGCUAUGUAAAGCUCUAUCAGCAGGGAAGAUAGUGACGGUACCUGACUAAGAAGCUCCGGCUAAAUACGUGCCAGCAGCCGCGGUAAUACGUAUGGAGCAAGCGUUAUCCGGAUUUACUGGGUGUAAAGGGAGUGUAGGUGGCCAGGCAAGUCAGAAGUGAAAGCCCGGGGCUCAACCCCGGGACUGCUUUUGAAACUGCAGGGCUAGAGUGCAGGAGGGGCAAGUGGAAUUCCUAGUGUAGCGGUGAAAUGCGUAGAUAUUAGGAGGAACACCAGUGGCGAAGGCGGCUUGCUGGACUGUAA